rnacentral:rRNA from 1 species
CAAGUCGAACGCGAAAGUUCCCUUCGGGGAGCGAGUAGAGUGGCGCACGGGUGAGUAACACGUAGGUAAUCUACCUUCGGAUUGGGAAUAACAACCGGAAACGGUUGCUAAUACCGAAUAAUGCAGCGGCACCUAAUGGUGACAGUUGUUAAAGCGGGGGAUCGCAAGACCUCGCGUCUGAAGAGGAGCCUGCGGCGGAUUAGCUAGUUGGUAAGGUAAUGGCUUACCAAGGCGAUGAUCCGUAGCCGGCCUGAGAGGGCGGUCGGCCACACUGACACUGACAUACGGGUCAGACUCCUACGGGAGGCAGCAGUCGGGAAUUUUGGGCAAUGGGCGAAAGCCUGACCCAGCAACGCCGCGUGAAGGAUGAAAUCCUUCGGGAUGUAAACUUCGCAAGAACGGGAAGAAUAAGUAAGAGCUAACAUCUCUUACGAUGACGGUACUGUUUGUAAGCUCCGGCUAACUCCGUGCCAGCAGCCGCGGUAAUACGGGGGGAGCAAGCGUUGUUCGGAUUUACUGGGCGUAAAGGGCGCGUAGGCGGCCACCGCAAGUCAGUUGUGAAAGCUCUGGGCUUAACCCAGAAAGGUCAACUGAUACUGCGGGGCUAGAGUGCAGAAGGGGCAACUGGAAUUCUCGGUGUAGCGGUGAAAUGCGUAGAUAUCGAGAGGAACACCUGCGGCGAAGGCGGGUUGCUGGGCUGACACUGACGCUGAAGUGCGAAAGCUAGGGGAGCGAACGGGAUUAGAUACCCCGGUAGUCCUAGCCUUAAACGAUGAAUGCUUGGUGUCUGGGGUUUUAUAGUCCCCGGGUGCCGUCGCUAACGCUUUAAGCAUUCCGCCUGGGGAGUACGGUCGCAAGACUGAAACUCAAAGGAAUUGACGGGGACCCGCACAAGCGGUGGA